AUGUCUGCGUUAUAUUACUGUUAUAUAUAUAUAAUUUUUACCAUUUACAUGGGUUUUCAAUAUAGUAGUCAUGGAAACAUUUAGGAUGGAAAGAGAAAACGGAUAUUCAUUUAAUUUUGUAGAAUACCACCUUUUUCUUUGUAAUCAAAGGAAGAAGAGUCUGCACCUAAAGUAGAAAUUUGAUUUCAAAGGAUGGAAUGAUAUCAAUAAGCAAUGACUAGCCAGCUUAAAUAUACAAAUUUGGUAAUAAUUCUGAGGAAUUAACCGACAGAAUCAUACUGAAUAUUAGUGAGAAAUUUCUAGAAAUGUUGAAAUCAUCGUAUAAAAUACUUAAUUUUUCAUUAAAUGAAAUAGGAAAAUUUCCCAAAAAAGAAAACAAGAUAUUUACAACACUAGAAAGCAAAAUACUUAAGAUGAUUAAACCAAUGACCAACAAAACAGAUAUAGAAUUUGAUAAUACUGUAGCUUUUGCAUUAACUUUAUUAAAUUUUGGUAUAAUAUACAUGGAAAUAGAAAAAGAAAUAGAACAAAAUACAUACAGUCUAUAUACAAAAGCAGAGAAUUUCUUCCUAGUUAAAACAGCUAUCAAUAGAAUAUGUCCGUAAUCCAGACAAACAUGAAUUUGUUAUCUGUAUGCAUAAUUUACUGAACAAUCUAAUAAAGGAAGAGUCUAUACGUCAAUAUUAUAAGGAUUGGGCUAUGACUGCAGCUGAGUUAUCUCGAUAUUUUAUACAUCACAAUCGCUUUACUGAAGCUAGAAGUUAUCUUGAUAUUGUUGCUGCAUACUAUACGUUGUAUAGAAGUAGUGCGAAAAAAUUAAGAACCAAGCUGACAAUGAUGACAGAGUCAACGAUAAAUGACAGAGAUUCAAAUUUACUCUUAAACACAAUGCAUACAGAGUGUCAAUAUAAAUAUGCGAAAAUUGCUAAAUUAUGCGGACAAUAUGGAGUUCAGCUUUCGCAUGCGUCAAAAGAAAAGUUAUUAUCAAAUAAAAAAAAAUCAAUCUUGUGAAGUUGAUAACUUAGAAUGUUCCAAUUCUACAAAAUCUGAAGAAAAAUCAGCAGAAUGUUUAUUAUUUACUAAUUUGGAAGAAGAGCUAAAUGAUGAGAUUUCAUUUAUUCAGAUUUAUUUAUUCAGAUCUCUGAUAAAUAUUUGUCAAAUUUAAAUGAUAUUAAAAUAGUUUUUAAAAAGGUUUUGGAAUGGUUCAAUUCAGCAAAGAAAUAUUUUACUAUGGAGAAGGAUGUGAAAAUUCAUGGGAAAAUUAUAUUAUAUAUAUCCAUAGCAUACAAAUAUGUUGCAGGCUUUGAACAACAGAAAGAUAAACGGGUGAAAAUAUAUGAUAAGCAAAUAGCACUUUUAUUUGAUACAGUUAAAACACGAAACAUUUUUAAAUAAUAUUAUAAGAUGUAUGUGGCUUGAAUUGGGUAUUAGUCAUUUAGCACUUGUAGACAUAUUGGGUGGUAUAACGGAAUCUGGUGUAACAACAGAUCGGCAACUGUUAUUGCAUUGCAAAUGAAAACCUGUAUAAGCAAUAGCAUGGAUUGUUUCAAAUCAUAUUUAGAAAUGUCCUAAGAUUCAUGUUCUCUAUGUGUAACUUUAUUUGUAUAUUAUGUUUUAUAUUUGAG
rnacentral:lncRNA from 1 species